GCCAAUUUCAAAACCUGUUUUCACCGCAGAGCAUGGCUGGUAGACAUAGAGGAAGCACCCACAACACUAAUCCAAUAUCUCCAGCAUCGCAGCGCAAUAGAAACAGAAAAAAGGACUUCCAAUUGAGGUUUGUUAUUAGCCGGGCGUGGGGAUGCUUCAGGCACAACAAUUGCAGGUGAUUGUUCAACAGGUUUGGCAGGAAGAUUCUCCUGUGCAUCAGAAACAAUUGCCUCAGAAACAAUUGCUUCAGAAACUGAACGAGCAUCACUAUGGACCGUAUCAGAUGAAACUGGGGGCACAUCAUUCUGACUUGUACCAACUGAUGGACUAGAAACAACUUCAUCAACAUUAGAAAUCUUUCCAUCGUCUGAUGGAUGACUA